CGAAGAACCUUACCAGGUCUUGACAUCCGACUAACGAGAUAGAGAUAUGUCAGGUGCCCUUCGGGGAAAGUCGAGACAGGUGGUGCAUGGUUGUCGUCAGCUCGUGUCGUGAGAUGUUGGGUUAAGUCCCGCAACGAGCGCAACCCCCUGCCAUUAGUUGCUACGCAAGAGCACUCUAAUGGGACCGCUACCGACAAGGUGGAGGAAGGUGGGGACGACGUCAAAUCAUCAUGCCCCUUAUGACCUGGGCUACACACGUAAUACAAUGGUCAUUAACAGAGGGAAGCAAAGCCGCGAGGCAGAGCAAAUCCCCAAAAAUGAUCUCAGUUCGGAUCGUAGGCUGCAACCCGCCUGCGUGAAGUUGGAAUUGCUAGUAA
rnacentral:rRNA from 1 species